GCGGGGGUCGCAUAGCCUGGCCAAUUGCGUCGGACUUAAGAUCCGAUCCUUAGUGGUACGAGGGUUCGAAUCCCUCCCCCCGCACCA
rnacentral:tRNA from 3 species